UUUUUUUUUAUUUUUUUUGUAAUGCAUAAUGCGAGUGUUAGCAUGUGUUACGAUAUUAGGCUUUUAAAAACCUAUGUAUUUACCAAGAAAUAGUGCAAUCUAUUGUAAUGUCAUUUUUAAUACUCGCGGUUCUAAUAAUGGUUAUUAAGUCCGCGAUAAUACCUAUGUUUAUUAUAAAUUUUUCAGUAAACCGUUGAACACUUAUAUGGCUGGAGAAUACUGAACAUUAAUUAAACAAAACAUGAUCUCAGGUAAAUUUAAAAUACCUUACAUGUUAUAGGAUAAAUACUAUUUAUAUGACUAUAAUUAUUUUAGUGCUAGAUUUUAAUAAGUGCCAAGUAUAGUUAGCUUAUAAAAUCAGUAUGUACUUAUGUGCCAAUAUAAAUUACUAUAAGUUUAACCCAAAUUAUAAUUUAAGUUUAAUUAUACUUAACACUUAAUGAAUGUUGUAUUAUAUAAGCACUUUUCUCUUUUUGAGUUUAUUCGGUAUCUCUAAACGCAUAAUACACCGAAGUAAUAAAGAAUUGAAAAGAGAAUGCCUACUAUAAUAAUAUUGGUAUGAAACACAAAUUAAUAAAAAUAAUUUGUACACAACUAUCUAUUAUUGUACUAUGAUAAAACAAAAUAAUUAAUAAAUCAUAUUUUACUAGCGUGAAUCACUUUUUCAGUAAUAAAUUUCACUACCUACCAACCUACCUGACAAUAUUAGUGGCUCUCUGAGAUAGGUUAUGUUAAGAGAAACUUCAUUAAAGCCAAAUAAAAGUUUAUUACACUUAAUCAUUUUAGGUAAUAAGAUUAGCAAAAAAAAAUAUAUAUAUCAAAAUUUAACAUAAUUGUUUUUUUUUUUUUCAUGAAAAACAGUUGGAUACGUAAAUCUGCUUUUUAUAUAAAUCGUUAAAAAUGAACCUUUUAUCGACUUUUUAACUAUUUGAUAAUAUUAUCAUCUAUGUGCAUUACACUGUUUCCCGACGGCUAAAUUUAAUAUAUAUUAUUACGUUUUCAAUCUUAAAUCUGUCAAUUAUAAUUAUCGAACUAAUGCCACAUUAUAAUAUAUUAGAAAAAAAUAACCUCUCUAAUGAUAUAAAAAAAAAAAUAACAAUAAGUAUGAAUUAAUAUCUGCAUUACUACAAAUAGAAAUACAUUAUGUGAGUAAAUUAUUCUGUUUUAAAAAGUUAAAAUUAACAAAUCGUAGAACAAUUUUAAACA